rnacentral:rRNA from 1 species
UACGUAGGGGGCUAGCGUUGUCCGGAUUUAUUGGGCGUAAAGGGCGCGUAGGCGGCCACGCACGUCCGUUGUGAAAUCGCCCGGCUCAACUGGGCGGGGUCAGCGGAUACGGUGUGGCUAGAGCAAGCUAGGGGGCAAUGGAAUUCCCGGUGUAGUGGUGGAAUGCGUAGAUAUCGGGAGGAACACCAGUGGCGAAGGCGGUUGCCUGGAGCUUUGCUGACGCUGAUGCGCGAAAGCGUGGGGAGCGAGUCCGG